CUGUAAAUUAAAUUAAAAAUAUUUUAGUGUAAAGUAAAUUUCUGUAAAUUAAAUAAAAAAUAUUGCUUCCCAUUGUCACGUGACUUCUAACGUCAUCCAUGGUAGUGCGUGAGGACGUUCAGCUUUCCGCCAUCUUGUUACACCGCAUGGAUGAACUCGGCGUGGUAAAACUGGAAUCAAGAAAAUUGGAUGGGGUACUGCUGAAAAACUAUUAGGACAUGUUUUUGAAAAAUCCAGUCACAUGAAAAACAAUCUGUUGGCAUGUCGGGAAGAAGAUCUGCCAAGCUUUUGGUGAUUGCUGACCAGAGGGAGGAAGCAGUGAGAGAAUUUGAAAAGACCACCAUGGCAUUUUUUUGUGAUCCGUGAAAGUGAUGCUCUUAGUUGUGCACUGGACAUUUCCAUUGUCAUGGAUGGUGUGGAAGUAGUAAAUGAGUUGCCCUCUGUUGCAUGUGCCUGUUCCAUAAUGUUUGGACUCAUUUAUGCACUGAACUUGAAAUAUCCUGAAGGACUCAAAUAUACAUUUGAGGCCUUUCAAAAAAUAUUCAUGGACAUAGAGAGUAAGCAGAUGAGCCGAAGGGUGCAGAACUUCUCUUUAAAGUUGCAGGAGUAAAUUUGUUUCCUUUGACCCAGCUACAGUGUUCUGCUGAUGGUAAAUUUCUUUGAAGAUGUUGGACUGUAUAAAGCCUUUCAUACAAAGUCAACUGUACUAUUGUUUACUAAACUUGAUUUGUUUUAUCUUGGUUAAGUUGUGUUUUAUCUAGGGUAAGUUAAAUAGUUUUUAAGUUCUUACGUUGUUUACUCAUCCUUAAGCUAUUCAAGUAUUUAACUUUAAUUAAAUUUGGUACAGAGACAUUUUAUGACAAUUAUGAGAUAAGUUUUAUUUUUGGGUAAAUUAUUCCAUGAAGGUGAAAAGACAUUUUAUUUUUUCUUUCUACCAUUGGCUAAUUUGGUGUUUUAUUAAAAGUGUUUAGUUUUACACCGCCCAUUUUAAAGCAGUUUUUUGGGCCAAACUUGUUUUAACUUCAGAAGAAUUCUAAAUGUUUGAUUGUUUUGUCAGUUCUAAGUGACUGUUCAUGGAAAGAUUACAGAAUUCCUAAGGUUUUGAUUGUGUAAGUCUGUUCCGAUUGACUGUUCAUGGAAAGAUUGCAUGUUUCUCUUCGAAACCAUAACUGAUUCUUUUGGUGAUUUUACAUUGUAUCCAGUGUUUCUAUGUAUAUGGAUACUAAAAACUGUUACAGUAUGUGUUUUUAUAACAAUACUAUACAUGUUGUAGAAAUGUUUUAUGACAAAUUGUCAGGUUAAUAACUUUUACAUUGUUAGGCAGUGUGAAUGUGUA